UCCGGUUUGUCACCGGCAGUCUCAUUAGAGUGCCCUUGCGUAGCAACUAAUGAUAAGGGUUGCGCUCGUUGCGGGACUUAACCCAACAUCUCACGACACGAGCUGACGACGGCCAUGCAGCACCUGUGUUCUAGCUCUCUUUCGAGCACUUCCAAAUCUCUUCGGAAUUCUAGACAUGUCAAGGGUAGGUAAGGUUUUUCGCGUUGCAUCGAAUUGAGCCACACGCUCCGCCGCUUGUGCGGGCCCCCGCCUAUUCCUUUGAGUUUUAACCUUGCGGCCGUAGUCCCCAGGCGGUCAACUUCACGCGUUAGCUUCGUUACUGAGUACUAAUGCACCCAACAACCAGUUGACAUCGUUUAGGGCGUGGACUAC
rnacentral:misc_RNA from 1 species